GAUGAACGCUGGCGGCGUGCCUAAUACAUGCAAGUCGAGCGAACAGACGAGGUGCUUGCUCCUCUGACGUUAGCCGCGGACGUGAGAGUAACAUGUGGAGCACCUACCUAUAAGACUGGGAUAACUUCGGGAAACCGGAGCUAAUAACGUAUAAUAUCUUCAACCGGAUGGUUCAAUAGUUCAAGCCGGUUUUGCUGUACCUUAUAGCUGGAUCCGCGCCGCAUUCGCUAGUUGGUAAGGUAACGGCUUACCAAGGCGACGAUGCGUAGCCGACCUGAGAGGGUGAUCGGCCACACUGGAACUGAGACACGGUCCAGACUCCUACGGGAGGCAGCAGUAGGGAAUCUUCCGCAAUGGGCGAAAGCCUGACGGAGCAACGCCGCGUGAGUGAUGAAGGUCUUCGGAUCGUAAAACUCUGUUAUUAGGGAAGAACAAAUGUGUAAGUAACUAUGCACGUCUUGACGGUACCUAAUCAGAAAGCCACGGCUAACUACGUG
rnacentral:rRNA from 1 species